GAUCAAUUGGGACCGCAAUAGCUCAAAUACAUGAUUUUCCUCAGUGAUUCCUCAAACUCCUUUAUUUUCUCUUCUUUCUUGAAUUUAUCGAAAAUCACAGAAAAAGAGUGGAUAGAGAGCUUCUUGGCCUGAGAGUAUGAUCUUAGACUAUUCUUUGUUUGCUGUUGGAUCCAUAUAUCUGAAAGUGUGAUUCCAUUUGUAGAAACCCUAAUCUUUCAGUGCCUCCACAACUUCCACACUGGCUGCCACAAUCCAAGAUCUGCUUGCAGU
rnacentral:lncRNA from 1 species